AACUCCUCAAACCCCCCAUCCUUCCUUCCCUUCCACUCUGCUCCGUGAUGCAAAAUUUUCUCUUUUUUUCAUGAUUCACCACUCGCAAUGGAGUUGCAAGCAUGAGGGACGUGGGUCAGGCAUCUGAACUUGUCAAAUCUUGGUCUGAAGGGAAUGUUAUCUCCUGAGAUUGGACAGCUUACUAAUAUGCAUUUUCUUGUACUGCACAGGAACUUGUUCUAUGGCAUUAUCCCUAGAGAGAUGGGAGAUUUACGAGAGCUGAAGGUGUUGGAUCUGGGGUACAAUAACUUCAAUGGAUCAAUUCCAUCAGAGCUAAUAAACAUUUUAUCCCUGGAAUUUAUCUUUCUUAAAAGAAACAGACUUUAUGGUGAUUUAUCUCUUGAACUAAAUGAGCUCAUCAGUCUGUGUGAGUCUCGGGUUCGCCACGGCAGGACUUUCUCAAAUAGGAUGCCCGCUGCAAGGUUUGUCUAAGUUUUCUUCUACUUGCAUAUCUGAGAGUUAAACUCGUGCAAGGCUUGAGUUAAAUUUUCAAAUCAAACAGGGAUUUGAGCAAGCUUGAUUUUGGUUAAAAAAUCCCAUCCUGUUCCUGCAAUCACAUGUAUGUUAAUGAUAUCUGAAAUAUUUGAGAAUUAUCUGUUUCGACUCAAGAAAUGUCAGACUUCUUUUAGGAACAUUUCCUCCACAAAAUGGUAAAUUAUAUGCGAGUCGGCAUCCCCGAAACCCAGCCCAAAUCCCCACAUAUAACCUCACUCCGGACGAACCCUAGACCCAAAUCUCUAGACAAUGCCAUGUUGAAAGAUAGGCUUGCGAAGAUUCGGCUCAAGAAUUCCUGAGGGUACUUCUGUCUUUAUUAUAUUUGUUCUCACACCUUGGGCGUUGUGUUUUCCCGCCGCAACGCACGCGUCGACCCGCAGUCUCAUAUUAAGUGAACCAGAAGCGGUACAUGCGAUAGAAAAGAAAAACAAACCCAACCACCAGCACGACCCUUCCUCUCGAUCCCAUCUGGACCUUUAGUAUUCUCGGGAUAUAUCUGAUUAUGAAGAUGUUCCGUAUUGCUCUGGAGCCGACAACUUUUUGGACUGCUCGAUGUCUAUAACCAAUGAGACUACUUUUUUGGUUGUUGGCUGGAGGCUGGAGCUAUCACUAUGACUGAAAUUUUCUUUUCACCAAAGUAAAUUUAUAUGGUCAUCAAAAACCAACGACAGGUCAACACUUGUCAGCAGUUUGCAAUUUGUAUUACAGUAUGCGUAAGCCAAUGGUCAGACAUUGUUGUUUUAGUUAGGAAAUGUAGAAACGUGUUCAUGAUUUAUGUAGAUUGGACAGUCCCUUCAAACUGUAGUAUUCGAUCUUGAGCGGACAAUCUAACUAUAUGUUUCCUUAUAGAAAAUUGACUAUAUGUUCCAUGAAUUGACUGAUUAGUUUGGCCCGAUCAGAUUAAACUAGGUCUUGAUUUGAAGGUCCAGUUAGGGCAGCUGGUGCUGGUUUGUUUGUUGUAAUACUAACUAUGCUAUUUAGACAGAGACAUGUGGUCUUUCUCAUUCCUCGACAUUUUCCUUUGCUACCAAGAUUUUUCAUUCUAGGUUGUGAAAAAACGGAUGUAGCAUUCCUUCUACAAGUUGUCAUGAGCUGGGACAUAGAAGAAGAGAGCCGACAAGAAGUUGCACAGCGGUUCGCUCUGGUGUCGCUGCCAAUGGCGUUGCGCAAAGUGCAGAUUGCAGGCUAGAUGCGUACGAGUCCGUCCCUACGUCCACGAUGUCGAAGCAUAGGAAAUCAAGUCAAUUAGAUAGUAUAUCUGGUUAUGAAAGUUGUCUUUUGUGUACGCAGUUUUGCCAUUAUUUUGUAAAAGCUUUGAGUUUUUGAUAAUGUAAUUGUCUUACUAAUAACACUUUUAAUCAAUUCGUGCCAAGGCUAAUAGCCAAGUUAUGCACAAAUUGUUCA